AGAAAAUAAUGGAGGUUCAAUUUUGAUUGGAUCAGAGGAGGAAGAGGAGCUUCUGUUCCAGAAAUCAACCUUUUCAGAAGGAAACGUAAAGUUUUUCAGAAUGUCUUGGCACUGAAGUAGAACAUCAUCCCCUCAGCUUGGCCCCUGGAGCAGUGAUCAUCUUGGAUGUGGCUCAAGGCUUCUUCCUCUAAGAGUCCAAACAUGAAAGGAGUAUGUCACAGAAAUACGUCACUGAGACACGGCACUCCACCUAAGGUGAAGCAGUGACGAGAGAAGCAGUCAAUGAACCUUUGGAGAUACAGGACCUUCAAAUCUUCUACAUCAUCCAACGCCUAUGGCCAACAGAUAUUGCCAAGCAGACUCUAAUGGUGGGACCAGUUUGUUUUACCAUCCAGCUACAUGAAACAUCACCUGAGUGCAGAAGAUG